rnacentral:lncRNA from 1 species
UUUUUUUUAAAUUUUUAGGCUCCUCACAUGCAAGCAGUGGAUCGAACAAAAUGCUUCACAGAUGAUCAACGUCAGAAAAAUACCAUGGUCGAACACUGAAGUGAACACUAUUUUGCACUGAAAAAUAAGCUAUAAUCCGUCACUGUCAAAACAGACUAUAUUUCCUGCUA